AUUGUAACACCAUUAUUUUUGUAACUUAACAUUUCGUUUAUUGUUUACAUUCUGUUUGUUUACUUUGUUAGUCUUGUCAAGUAUCAGCUGUCAAAUUCGACACACAGGAUAGAUUUUCAGUUGUUGUCUGUGGUCCUUUGAGAAAACUCGUGCUAGAUCGUCAUCGGACAGUGGUCAGUGGCGACAUGACGCUCAGAACAAUGAUCGUGCUGACUGGCCACAGAGUAGUUUUGUGACGAUGAGCUGACAUCCCCGGUGACGGCUUUUUUCGGAACUGGGAAGGAGGCAAACCAUUCUCUGUCAGAACGUCUCGAGCUCGAGUAAAUGUGUGGUUAGAUUUUUCUUCCCGCCCGCGUGGCGCAGGCCGUAUUGGUACCAAGUUCCUUGCUUCAUAUUUCCUGUUACCAGAUACGUGCCACAGACACCCACGCAGCAUCACACCAUGUGUACCUAACCUGAAUUGCCGACAAUUUCAAUCCUGCCCGGUGAAGCGUGCGAUUGCCAGACGCGUGUCACCUGACCCAACCCCAAGAAGGUGUCGUUGGUGACCAGAGCCGUCAGCGAGCCACGAGCCGUCCGGAGCUCCUGUCCUGGCCCCGUCCGACAGUCCAGGUUGGCCGUUGUAUGUUCGUUGAGCGGAUACUGAGGAAUUUCCUUAGGAUUUCUAUUAAUCUUCAGCGGCAUCAGCCUUCUAACGCCGCUGCUGAAUGUAGGAUUGCAAAGGCAGAACCCGGGUGGACUCUAGCGGGUUAAAACCUUUAUUUUUUAUUUUUUUUACUUCGUAGGGAGCCCCGUUAGAACGGGCAGUAGUAUCUAAAUUGCACUUUGAACCUUUUGUAGGCGCUAGGCUAUCAACGUCCUUCGGUUACGGGGCCUUAACGUUAAACUGCUAUCCCAUUGAAGUAAUAUAGAAGUUUCUCUGGGGUUAAUACCAUCUUUCUAUCCCUGUGGCGUGAAACACAGGGGUAGAACAUUUGGUUUCCCCACUUUAAUGUAAUCUCCUUGCAAUACCUUGUAUACUUCAACCAGACAAUUAUAAGGGCUUAAUCCCUGGUCUCAUUUUAGACCUGUUUGAGUUAUAAAAUAUUGUGUGAGGCAGGGUUUUGAUAAAUAAAUAUUAAUAACUGUACAACAUUCUGAUAUUUUUAUUUUCCACCUCAUUGUAAUUUCACCACCCACUACACAGU